rnacentral:RNase_P_RNA from 1 species
AGUCAGCCAGACAAUCGCUCGGUUCAGACCGGGAGGAAAGUCCGGGCUCCAUAGGGCAGGGUGCCAGGUAACGCCUGGGAGGCGCGAGCCUACGGAAAGUGCAGCAGAAAGUAUACCGCCUGCGAAGCAGGUAAGGGUGAAAUGGUGUGGUAAGAGCGCACCGCGCGGCUGGUAACAGGCGUGGCAAUGUAAACCCCACCUGGAGCAAGACCAAAUAGGAAUCCGAAUGGCGUGGCCCGCGUCUGGAUUCGGGUAGGUUGCUAUAGGUGUCUGGCGACAGGCAUCACAGAUGAAUGAUUGUCCUCGACAGAACCCGGCUUAUAGGCCGACUCCU